rnacentral:rRNA from 1 species
AGAGUUUGAUCCUGGCUCAGAUUGAACGCUGGCGGCAUGCCUUACACAUGCAAGUCGAACGGCAGCACGGGAGCAAUCCUGGUGGCGAGUGGCGAACGGGUGAGUAAUAUAUCGGAACGUGCCCAGUCGUGGGGGAUAACGUAGCGAAAGCUACGCUAAUACCGCAUACGAUCUAUGGAUGAAAGCGGGGGAUCGCAAGACCUCGCGCGAUUGGAGCGGCCGAUAUCAGAUUAGCUAGUUGGUGGGGUAAAAGCCCACCAAGGCGACGAUCUGUAGCUGGUCUGAGAGGACGACCAGCCACACUGGAACUGAGACACGGUCCAGACUCCUACGGGAGGCAGCAGUGGGGAAUUUUGGACAAUGGGCGCAAGCCUGAUCCAGCAAUGCCGCGUGCAGGACGAAGGCCUUC